rnacentral:misc_RNA from 1 species
GCUUGAAUCUGGAUCAAUUCCAUCGGUAUUGGGCGAAUCUCGCGGGGCCAAGAUGGUAACAAAUUGGAUAACAACAUCGCUGCAAUAAACAGGAUGAAUAUUCCAAAAGGGAGAGUUCUUGAAAAUCACAUUGGAUAUGAUUAUGCUUCUUGAAUUUACAAUUUCAACAAGAUUAGGUCUCGUAAAUUUAAGAGUUCUCUGCCUCCACAUGCUCCACCAGACAUCUCCUUGUCCAU